UCCGUAGGCGGUUUAGUAAGUCAGUGGUGAAAGCCCAUCGCUCAACGGUGGAACGGCCAUUGAUACUGCUAGACUUGAAUUAUUAGGAAGUAACUAGAAUAUGUAGUGUAGCGGUGAAAUGCUUAGAGAUUACAUGGAAUACCAAUUGCGAAGGCAGGUUACUACUAAUGGAUUGACGCUGAUGGACGAAAGCGUGGGUAGCGAACAGGAUUAGAUACCCUGGUAGUCCACGCCGUAAACGAUGGAUACUAGCUGUUGGGAGCAAUCUCAGUGGCUAAGCGAAAGUGAUAAGUAUCCCACCUGGGGAGUACGUUCGCAAGAAUGAA
rnacentral:rRNA from 1 species